UACGUAGGUGGCAAGCGUUGUCCGGAAUUAUUGGGCGUAAAGCGCGCGCAGGCGGCCUUUUAAGUCUGAUGUGAAAGCCCCCGGCUCAACCGGGGAGGGUCAUUGGAAACUGGAAGGCUUGAGCGCAGAAGAGAAGAGCGGAAUUCCACGUGUAGCGGUGAAAUGCGUAGAGAUGUGGAGGAACACCAGUGGCGAAGGCGGCUCUUUGGUCUGUAACUGACGCUGAGGCGCGAAAGCGUGGGGAGCAAACAGG
rnacentral:rRNA from 1 species